rnacentral:rRNA from 1 species
UAAAACAUAGCGUUAAUGCAUUGAAUCCCAUUAGAACUCUGCAGUUAAGCACCUCAGAAUAGAGUAAUAUUGGGAUGGGUGACCUCCAGCGAAGUCCUAGUGUUUUAC